CACCUGACUCACUACAACUCCAAAGAGCCAUUUAUCCGCGGGCCACAUCGGCACACAUAACCCAGACAAAUGGAUGUAGCCAAGUUUUAAGGCAUUAUAAAUAAACAUAACUGUGCAUUUAUUUAUUUUAAUUCUUCAUACAUCUUGCAUACCACUUAAGCUUUGAGAAGGGAGAAGUAAGUGAAACCAGGAGAGUGGACGCUGUGAACUAGCCCUGAGUCCAAAAUAAACUCUAAAGAAAACUCAGUGGAAGUUUUGAGACAGGAAUCUCACCACAGGUACAAACUCACUGUGUUUUUGCCCAUUCACAAGGAACUUAUUCUGAUUUAUUAUUUAUUCACAACCUACUAUGAACUCAGUUAACUAUGUUGGGGACUCAUUGAAUAAAACUUCUGCCCUCAAUGAGUUUAAUUAAUAAGAAAUUAGCUUAAUUUGUUGAUUGGAAUCCUCACGUGAUGAAGUUAGUCUUUUCUAAUCAUUUAAUUUUAUUUUAAAUAUAUGGUGUUAUUUAGGUUGCUACAGUUACUUGUAAGUAGCACUUAUUGGAAAUGAAUCUCAGAUAUUCUCAAUAUAAACAUUAGAACUAUAGUUUGUUCCCUUUAUACUGUUUGAACAUGCUGCCCUCCUCCGAGGUCUAGGCAGGUACAGUUCAUCAAUAAGUACCCAUUAUUACAUCCUUGUAAUAAAGAUUGUGCAUAUACACACUCACAGCCUCAGAGUGGAGUGCACUGGUCGCCAUUGCCUUACCCAACAAGCAUUGACUAUUCAUGUAGAAGGAUGAACCAGACUUAGAGUAAUACCAAGAUGACACUAAUAACUUCCCACUGGGACUCAUGCAUUGACCUGGUGGUUUUUGUUUUUCUCCUUUAGUAGUGGAUGUUGGGAUCCUGAGGAUGGAUUUCCAUCUAGCUAGUAAGGAUAUAAAUAGAUAUGAAAAACACAGUCUCCCUAGGCCCUUUGUGCAUUAGAAUGACUUUUUAAUCCCUUAGACAUGCUUAUGGAGAAGGUUAAAAGAGCAGAGAUGGGAUAAACAACCAAAUGCAAAUGCUUAGCAGCACCCAGGCCCCCUUCAUGGAGGGCACCACUGUUCAGUAAGGCAUAGAAAAGAGAGAGCGUUCUGCUAUUGCUGUGUGCUGCUGCUGGCUUCUGAAAGGUUUAGCAGAGAAUUUGCUUACUUUAAUAGAAGAUAAUAAUAAUAACAAAACCAAAAACAACAGGUAUGAUGGUGUGACUUUUUUGAGUAGACAGUUAUUCUGGGAAAAUCUAUAUUGGAAGCCUUGGGGUAUAGUUAAAUUGUUAAGCAGCUCAAUGGCUGAACGUAUAACCAACUCUAAAGCUAGAUGAGCUUUUACAGCAGUUAAUGUAAGACUUCAAAGA
rnacentral:lncRNA from 1 species